GCCGCAGGCCGCCUUAUCGCUGCGCUAACGCGCGGAGGAAAGUCCGGACACCAUAGGGCAGCAUAGCGGGUAACGCCCGUCAUUCCGUGAAAGCGGGAGAGGACAAGUGCAACAGAAAGGAUGUACAGGUAAUGCUGUAGUGAAAUCAGGUAAACUCUAUGCGGUGAAAUGCCAUGUAUACCGGCAACUAAGAACUGCCCGUUCAAUGCCGGGGGGUAGGCAGAUAGACCCCUGCAGUAAUGCAGGGGCCAGAUAAAUGAUAAGGGUUCCGUAAGGAAUACAGAAUCCGGCUUACAGGCCUGCUUUUUUU
rnacentral:RNase_P_RNA from 1 species